UACGAAGGGGGCUAGCGUUGCUCGGAAUUACUGGGCGUAAAGCGCACGUAGGCGGAUUGUUAAGUCGGGGGUGAAAUCCUGGAGCUCAACUCCAGAACUGCCUUCGAUACUGGCGAUCUAGAGUCCGGGAGAGGUGAGUGGAACUGCGAGUGUAGAGGUGAAAUUCGUAGAUAUUCGCAAGAACACCAGUGGCGAAGGCGGCUCACUGGCCCGGUACUGACGCUGGAGGUGCGAAAGCGUGGGGAGCAAACAGG
rnacentral:rRNA from 1 species